UACGUAGGGGGCUAGCGUUGUCCGGAAUCAUUGGGCGUAAAGAGCGUGUAGGCGGCCCGGUAAGUCCGCUGUAAAAGUCAAAGGCUCAACCUUUGAAUGUCAGUGGAUACUGCCGGGCUAGAGUCCGGAAGAGGAGAGUGGAAUUCCUGGUGUAGCGGUGAAAUGCGCAGAUAUCAGGAAGAACACCCAGUGGCGAAGGCGGCUCGUCGUGGGACG
rnacentral:rRNA from 1 species